AGGCAAUAAGAAGCUUGGUUAGUUUUUUGGAGUCAAAUAUGACUAGAUGUCAUGUGUAUGAUUGAGUAUAAGAAUUAGAACGGCAACCGAUUCCCAAUAGCUAAAGUUAUGUUUUCUUGUUAGAAGAUACAAAGCCAAAGACUCAUACGGACUUCGGAUACACCAUCAAC
rnacentral:sRNA from 1 species